rnacentral:tRNA from 1 species
GCGAAUGUAGCUCAGGUGGUUAGAGUGUCGGAUUGUGGCUCCGGAAGCCGCGGGUUCAAGUCCCGUCAUUCGCCCCA